UUCAGCACCUUCUCCAAUGUGACAGCUUAAAGCAGCUCUCUCCGGUCACUGAACGCGCCCUCACCCCCAGCCACUCAUGGUCUAAUCACCCUGAAAAAAAUCGCGGUUUCCCAAAUACAUCAGGCAGUCGCAAGCGUGCUGUGAGCCCCCACUCGUCCUUCAGGCCCAGCCUACACGCCUCCUCUGCAGAGCCUUCCAGGUCCCUCUGCAGGCAGAGCGGGCAUCCUUGCUGUCACGACUGCUCGCUCUUCCAUCUCUACUGCACCACCUCAUUGCUUGUAACUACUUGAGGCUGUGUCCGUCUCACCCUGCCGCACUGAACCAGUGUGCAGUCCUGUCUUAGAACAUGACAACCCCAAGACUUAUCAAGAGCUCCAUUUAACAGGUAAACAAAGACUCCGAACAAUCAAAUGACUUGCCUGACAUCACAGAGCUAGUACCUGCAGGGCAGGUAAGGUCUGAACUCACCUCUACUUAGACUUGUAUCCUUUCCUGUGCUCUCUCUCAUUUUAUUCAGUGUUUUAGUUCCAAAGCCUGGCACACAGAAGCAAUGCUUAAGAAAUGACUAUUUAUUCAGUAUCCUAAAGUCUCUUGAUAAAACAGGAGUACCGAGAUAGCUCCUAAACACUCUAAAAUACAUCUACCUCAAUCCUGAAACCUCCACAAUUUAAUGAGAAAACACUACCUAAGUGUUCCCACUAAAGCUGGGAACAAAACAAACAGGUUCAUGACCAUUAUUAUUAUUUCUUUUUAACGCUGCCCUGGAAAGCCCUAUGUUUUCUCUUCGCCAAUCUUAGGUCAUUCAGGUAUGGUCUGGGGUAGUUAAACCCUGGGCAGUUUAAUUGAAACAUUUAAGUAAAUGGCCGAACCUUUCAUCAAAGCAUUUCCCCACUGUGCUAGUGCACAUGAAAAAUAUAAUCCUCCAUAUAAGCCAUGACAUUAAAUGACCAGAAAGCACUGCAACAGCCACAAAAUUAUAAAAGAGAAAUAAACUGGUUGUAUAAAGACCGAAGAUACAUGUGUCACCGUUUGUAGAUUACAUGACUACAUUCCUUCACAGUCAAAGAAAACAAACUGAAAAACUAUCACGAAUAAGAGGUGGCAGUGUACAAAUCCUGAUACACAGAAAUCAGUAGCUUUCUAAUACACAGGCAAUCAUUACAUAGAAGUUAUAAUAAAAGAAAGUUUUAUUUACAAAGUCUUCUAAAAAGAUAAUGUCCCUAGGAAUAAGUGCAGGAAUUGAGCAGUAUCUAUAAAAGAAACAUUUUAAUGUUUCUUGGGGACACUAAUAAAAAUCUGAACGAGUGAAAAGGCUUAUAUUCUUAUACAGAAGAGUCAUCAUUAAAAUGGCAAUUCUCCCUACACUAAUUUACAAAUUUUUUGAAAUCUCAAUAAAAAUACUUUUAUUUUUUAACUAGACAGAUUCCAGAGUUUAUUGGUGGAAAAAUGAUCUUGCAUGACAGGAGAGGAAAAUUUUGAAAGAGAAUAGUAAUAGGUACAACCACUAAGAAAACAUUAUGCAGGUACUUCAAAAAACUAAAUAUAGAACUACCAUAUGAUCCAGCAAUCCCACUCCUGCACAUAUAUCCACACAAAGCAUUCACUGAUAGAGAUACAUGCACCCCUAUGUUCACUGCAGCACUGUUCAAUAGCCAAGACUUGGAAACAACCUAAAGGUCCAUCAACAGAUGACCGGAUUAACAAGAUGUGGUACAUAUACACAAUGGACUACUACUCAGCCAUAAAAAAGGACAAAAUAAUGCCAUUUGCAGCAACAUGGAUGGAACUAGAGACUCAUACUAAGUGAAGUAAGUCAGAAGGAGAAAGACAAAUAACCUAUGAUAUCACUUUAUCUGGGGUCUAAUACAUGGCACAAAUGAACCUAACUACAGAAAAGAAACAAACUCAUGGACUUGAAGAAUGACCUGCGGUUGCCAGGAGGGAGUGGGAGGGGACUGGGAGUUCGGAGUUCGUCGAAGCAAACUACUGCAUUUGGAAUGGAUGUGCAAUGAGAUUCUGCUGUACAGCCCAAGGAACUACAUCCGAUCACCUGUGAUGGAACAUGAUGGAGGAUAAUGUGAAAGGAAGAAUGUAUGUGUAUGUAUAACUGGGUCACUUUGCUGCACAGCAGACACUGACAGAACACUAAGUCAACUGUAAUUUUAAAAAAUAUUUUUUAAAAAAGAAGACUAAUGAAAGGAGCGCACUAGUGGUGGCAAAUAUAAAACUGUGGUGUUUAAAAAAUAUUAUAAAUGUACUAAUCAUUAAAACAGUUAUACUAGUUCACGAAUAAACAAAUCAAUGGAACAGAACAGAAAGCUCCAAAAUGGACUCCUAUGUAUCAAUACAGGAUUUCAAAUUAGUGUGGACAGAGGAACAAAGGGCAUUAGGACAAAUGGGUAGCCAUGCGGAUAAAAGACAUUACUGGGAUUCACAACACAGACCAGGAUAAACUCCAAAUGUAACCAAGAUUUAAAUGCAAAACAAAAUCAAACCAAACCGUGCAUGUACUAGAUGAACCAAAGAAAAAUGUUAAAUAUAUAUACUUUUGGAGCAGACUAGGUAUUUCAGAUUAUGACACAAAACAGAGAAGCCAUAGGAAACACUGAUUCAUCUGACUACAUAAAAGUAAAAAUAAAAUAGCUUGAAAAAAAUUACUCUAAGACAACAAAAAACUAGGAAGAAAAAUUCACAAUUCUUCCCACAGACUAAAAACUAAGUUCUCUAAUAUUUGAAGAGUACCUACAAAUCAGUGAGAGUUUAUUUUAAUUUUUAUGUUUGACUG
ensembl:lncRNA